GACAGAGGAUGCAAGCGUUAUUCGGAUUAAUUGGGCGUAAAGUGUUCGUAGGUGGGUAUUUAAGUCUUAUGUCAAAAAUUAAAGCUUCACUUUAACUUGGCAUUAGAAACUCUAGAUCUUGAAUGCAAUAGAGAUAGUAGGAACUCCUAGUGUAGCGGUGAAAUGCGGAGAGAUUGGGAAGAACACCAGUAGCGAAGGCGUACUAUUAGCUUGUAUUGACUUUGAAGAACGAAAGUUAGGGGAGCAAACGGG
rnacentral:rRNA from 1 species